UACGUAGGUGACAAGCGUUGUCCGGAUUUACUGGGCGUAAAGAGCGCGCAGGCGGUCGUUCAAGUCGAGUGUGAAAGCCCCCGGCUCAACUGGGGAGGGUCACUCGAUACUGAUCGACUCGAAGGCAGGAGAGGGAAGUGGAAUUCCCGGUGUAGUGGUGAAAUGCGUAGAUAUCGGGAGGAACACCAGUGGCGAAGGCGACUUCCUGGCCUGUUCUUGGCGCUGAGGCGCGAAAGCUAGGGGAGCAAACGGG
rnacentral:rRNA from 1 species